UGUGGUUUUAUCAUAGUUUGGGUAAAUUAUCCUGCUUUGCAUAAAAUGUGAUCAAUAAAUAGCAAACAUCUUUCUGGUGAUCUCACAGGUCUCCUCAGUGGCAGCAUCUGGGGAACAAGGAUAAGGAAAAGAUGGGGCUUAUUGUCAGAGAUGUGGGAGAGUUUUGGAUGGAAUUUGAAGACUUCUGCAGAUACUUCACAGACAUGGUGGUAUGCAGAUUGCCAGAAAAUUCCCUUCUCUGGUCCCAGGCUCACUGGAGGGAGGUUCGAUGCAUGGGGGCAUGGACUUACAAACCUGUAAUCCCACACACACGAUCCUGUUCUGAUCAUCUGAACAUUAAGGCCCAGAAGCCCUCCACAGGGCUUCAGUGGUCCAAACAAAUGCCAGCGCAGAGAAGAGAACAAAGUAAGCAACAACUAAGUGAAAGACAAAAGGAGGAACACUUUCAAGAAGAAAAAUGGAAAAAAAUAGAAAAUCAAGAAGUCAAGGCAAGUACGUUAAGGAGGGGACACAGACCCUUAAAAGCUGAGUGUAAGAAAAAAACAGGAGUAGGUGAGGGAAGA